GUCAGUUCCUGAGUCUCCGGAAAAUGGCCGCCGGGUGUGGUGCGGGCAGAGCGCUGGGAACCCUGCUCUCUCGGCGUCGCCUCUUCUAACGAGGUCCGUGGCGCGGCGAGCCGAUUCUGCCGAGCCGAGGACCGGCUGUGACACGGUGAAAUAAAGUCGACUAUAGAUUUCUGUGAAAAUGUCGGUUCUAAUAUCACAGAGUGUGAUAAAUUAUGUGGAAGAAGAAAAUAUUCCUGCUCUGAAAGCUCUUCUUGAGAAGUGCAAAGAUGUGGAUGAGAGAAAUGAGUGUGGCCAGACACCGCUGAUGAUAGCUGCUGAACAGGGCAAUGUGGAAAUAGUGAAAGAACUGAUUAAGAAUGGAGCCAACUGCAACCUGGAAGAUCUGGAUAACUGGACAGCUCUUAUAUCUGCAUCUAAAGAGGGCCACAUCCACAUUGUGGAGGAGCUGCUUAAGUGUGGGGCCAAUCUGGAGCACCGUGACAUGGGGGGAUGGACAGCUCUCAUGUGGGCGUGCUACAAAGGCAGGACUGAUGUUGUCCAGUUGCUGCUUUCUCACGGUGCCAACCCAAGUGUCACUGGUUUGCAGUACAGUGUCUACCCUAUCAUUUGGGCAGCAGGCAGAGGCCAUGCUGACAUAGUGCAUCUCCUGCUGCAGAAUGGCGCCAAAGUCAAUUGCUCUGACAAGUAUGGAACAACCCCUUUGGUGUGGGCUGCCCGGAAGGGACAUUUGGAAUGUGUGAAGCAUUUGUUAGCCAUGGGAGCUGAUGUUGAUCAAGAAGGAGCCAAUUCAAUGACUGCACUUAUUGUGGCAGUGAAAGGAGGUUACACACAGUCAGUGAAAGAGAUUUUGAAGAGGAAUCCGAAUGUCAACCUGACAGAUAAGGAUGGAAAUACAGCUUUGAUGAUUGCAUCAAAGGAGGGACACAUAGAGAUUGUACAGGACCUGCUGGACGCUGGGACAUAUGUGAACAUACCUGACCGGAGUGGGGAUACUGUAUUGAUUGGCGCUGUUAGAGGUGGCCAUGUUGAAAUUGUUCGAGCACUUCUCCAAAAAUAUGCUGACAUAGACAUCAGAGGGCAGGACAAUAAGACUGCAUUGUACUGGGCUGUUGAGAAGGGAAAUGCGACAAUGGUGAGAGACAUUCUGCAGUGCAACCCUGACACCGAGAUAUGCACGAAGGAUGGCGAAACACCUCUGAUAAAGGCCACCAAGAUGAGGAAUAUUGAAGUGGUGGAGCUGCUGCUGGAUAAGGGAGCUAAGGUGUCUGCUGUGGACAAGAAAGGUGACACGCCCCUGCAUGUUGCUAUCCGAGGGAGGAGCCGGAGACUGGCAGAACUUCUUUUACGGAACCCCAAAGAUGGGCGGCUACUUUACAGGCCCAACAAAGCAGGCGAGACUCCCUACAACAUAGACUGCAGCCACCAGAAAAGCAUUUUAACUCAAAUAUUUGGAGCCAGACACUUGUCUCCUACGGAAUCAGAUGGUGACAUGCUUGGUUAUGAUUUGUAUAGCAGUGCCCUGGCGGAUAUUCUCAGCGAGCCUACCAUGCAGCCACCCAUUUGUGUGGGGUUGUACGCACAGUGGGGAAGUGGGAAGUCUUUCUUACUCAAGAAACUAGAAGAUGAAAUGAAGACUUUUGCAGGACAGCAGAUCGAGCCCCUUUUCCAGUUCUCGUGGCUCAUAGUGUUCCUCACCCUGAUGCUGUGUGGGGGAGUGGGCCUAGUGUUUGCUUUUACAGUUGAUACAAACCUCGCCAUAGCAGUUUCAUUGAGUUUCCUGGCUCUCUUAUAUAUAUUCUUCAUCGUCAUUUACUUUGGUGGACGGCGGGAAGGAGAGAGCUGGAACUGGGCCUGGGCCCUCAGUACCAGACUGGCAAGACACAUUGGCUACCUGGAACUCCUCUUCAGACUGAUGUUUGUGAACCCACCUGAGCUGCCAGAGCAAACUACAAAGGCUUUGCCUGUGAGGUUUUUGUUUACCGACUACAACAGACUCUCCAGUGUAGGUGGAGAGACUUCCUUGGCCGAAAUGAUCGCGACACUCUCAGAUGCCUGUGAGAGAGAGUUCGGCUUUUUGGCUACCAGGCUUUUUCGAGUAUUCAAGACUGAAGAUACUCAGGGUAAAAAGAAAUGGAAAAAAACAUGCUGUCUCCCGUCAUUUAUCAUCUUUCUUUUCAUCGUGGGCUGCAUUAUUGCUGGAAUUACUCUUCUGGCUAUAUUCAGAAUUGACCCCAAACAUCUGACAGUGAAUGCUGUCCUCAUAUCAAUUGCAUCUAUCGUGGGGCUGGCCUUCGUGCUGAACUGCCGGACAUGGUGGCAAGUGCUGGACUCUCUCCUCAAUUCUCAGCGAAAACGCCUCCACAGUGCUGCCUCCAAACUGCACAAAUUGAAAAGUGAAGGGUUCAUGAAAGUCCUGAAGUGUGAAGUGGAGUUGAUGGCCAGGAUGGCAAAAACCAUUGACAGCUUCACUCAGAAUCAGACAAGGCUGGUGGUCAUCAUCGAUGGCCUGGAUGCCUGUGAACAGGACAAGGUCCUUCAGAUGCUGGACACUGUCCGAGUUCUGUUUUCAAAAGGCCCCUUUAUUGCCAUUUUUGCAAGUGAUCCACAUAUUAUUAUAAAGGCCAUCAACCAGAACCUGAACAGUGUGCUUCGUGAUUCAAAUAUAAAUGGACAUGACUAUAUGCGCAAUAUAGUUCAUCUACCAGUUUUUCUUAAUAGUCGAGGGCUUAGCAAUGCAAGGAAAUUUCUUGUAACUUCAGCAACAAAUGGGGACAUUUCAUGCCCAGAUACCACAGGGAUGCAAGACGAUGCUGACAGAAGAGUCUCACAGAACAGCCUUGGGGAGAUGACAAAGCUUGGGAGCAAAACAGCUCUCAACAGAAGGGAUACUUACCGCAGAAGACAGAUGCAGAGGACCAUCACCCGGCAGAUGUCCUUUGAUCUCACGAAGCUGCUGGUCACGGAGGAUUGGUUCAGUGACAUCAGUCCUCAGACCAUGAGACGAUUACUCAAUAUUGUUUCUGUGACAGGGCGGUUACUAAGAGCCAAUCAGAUUACUUUCAACUGGGACAGGCUAGCCAGCUGGAUCAACCUUACCGAGCAGUGGCCCUACCGGACGUCAUGGCUCAUACUGUAUCUGGAAGAGACUGAAGGUGUCCCUGAUCAGAUGACAUUAAAGACCAUCUAUGAGAGAAUAUCAAAGAAUAUUCCAACAACUAAAGAUGUUGAGCCACUGCUUGAAAUCGAUGGAGAUAUAAGAAAUUUUGAAGUGUUUCUGUCUUCAAGGACCCCAGUUCUUGUGGCUCGCGAUGUAAAGACUUUUUUGCCUUGCACCGUCAACCUGGAUCCCAAACUACGGGAGAUCAUUGCAGAUGUUCGAGCUGCAAGAGAGCAGAUCAACAUAGGAGGCCUUGCGUAUCCCCCGCUUCCUCUGCAUGAAGCCCCUCCUCGGCCACCUUCUGGGUACAGUCAGCCUGCAUCUGUCUGCUCCUCCUCAGCAUCCUUCAACGGGCCGUUCCCAGGCGGGGUCGUGUCCCCUCAACCCCACAGCAGCUAUUACAGUGGCAUGUCCGGCCCCCAGCAUCCCUUCUACAACAGGCCAUUCUUUGCCCCAUACCUUUACACGCCAAGGUAUUACCCUGGCGGUUCCCAACAUCUCAUCUCACGUUCAUCAGUAAAAACGAAUUUGCCCAGAGAUCAGAACAAUGGCCUAGUGUCUCCACUGAUGAAGUCUUCAUGCAAUAUCCUUCUUCCUUUCUUUAUUUGUGAAAGACCUAGAGCUGGUUCAGCAUCUAAAGCAAGUUGUUUAAACCCUUACCCCUUAAUACAUUAAGAUACUGAGUUCUUUAAAAAUAAGGACCAACAAACUGUGGAGGAAGGCACUAAAAUUAUAAUUAUUCCCAACCUGAUGUUUAAAAAGAAAUGCCUGUGAUUAGCAGUCAUAAAAUCUUACUUUAGUCAGUCAGUAUGCAGUUGAAGAGUUCAGUUUGUGUUUUAUGUUCAGAAUAUGUUAUUUCAUGUACAUGCAGUCUCUGAAACUAUACUCAAGUGCAGUAAACAGUAGAGAGUUGCAGGCUGAAGUUGCUCAUCCUAAGCUUAUCAAGAAUGUUUAGGGUAAACAUGCAUUUGAGCAGGUAAUAGAUUUUUUUUAACCUUAAUUUUCUUUGAGUUAAUCCUAUUAAGAGAAAAAAAGGGAACCAUUUUGUUGUUUUAUGAGGAGUUGAUGAUUCUUAAGUCUUUAACAUUAGCUGAAGUGUUUGAGCAACUUGGUUAUCCACCGAUGACAGACCUACUGAGUCACAGCCAUUCUUUUGGGUACUUAAGGAUGCUGUGGUCCAUGAAGCAUCACCACUGUAUGUAAAGUGACUUUUAAUUAGUCAGGGAGCCUUUGUUAUAGGGAUUCAUGUGUGUGGUUCAGUCCUAGGGACUAAAGUUUCUCAGUGAAUUUCUGAUGGAAAUCAGAUACUGUGAAGGAUUUCAUGACUUCAGUGGCACAGAGAUGCUGAGUCAGCUAGGGCAGAAGUGUAGGCAAGCACUUGUAAUUAAAAGGCACAGUAACUUAUUGUUUCUGGGUUCAGAAAGGAGAGCAUAGACAAGGUUUGGAAUGAGUUUUUCUGAGGAAGGGGAAUAAUGCAGUUCCCGAGCCAUGUUUAAGAACUCAGUAACAAGACAUGAAGGCAUCUCACCUAGAGCAGUGUCUGUGUGUGUCAGUAAGAUAACACACUUCAUGUUCUCUCGCACUAAAAGGUAGUUUGUAGCUGGUCAAGUGUUAACGGAUGCUCAUCAUGCUUCCUGUGCUUGUAAGAAAUUAACAGCGGCAAUAGUUUAUAAAGUGUGUUUUGUAGAAGACCAAGCAAAGCACCUCAACAUUUCUUCAAAGCCUGCAAAAGCAGUGGUGGAAUGACGAACCUGCCUGUCUUAGUCAGUGUUUUGUUUCUGUGAAGAGACACUGUUACCAUGGCAACAUUUAUAAAGGAAAACAUUUAAUUGGGGUGACUUGCACUUUCAGAGGGUUAGUCCAUGAUCUUUAUGGUGGGAAGCAUGGUUGUGUGUAAGCGGACAUGGUGCUGGAGAAGGAGCCAAGAGUGCUACAUCUGUAUCUGCAGGCAGCAGAAAGAGAGAGAGACACUGGGCCUGACUUGAGCAUUUGAAACCUCAAAACCCAUCCCCAGUGACACACUUCUGCCAACAGUGCCACACCUACUUCAACAAGGCCACUCCUCCUAAUAGUGUUAUUCCCUGGUGACCAGGCAUUCAAAUCUAUUAGCUGAUGGAAGCAUUCAUAGCAUACCACCACACUGCCAGACACAGGUGCCAUGGGUGCUAGCUGGAUCAGCAGCCUAUGGGAGAAUAAGUGGUCCCUCUAUACUCGAGGCUACCUCGUCCUAACUGGGACAAUAGGGCUGUGUGGCCAGGAUUCCCUUCAUAGACCUGAUGAGAAAGACCACUUAUAGAUGAGCCAGGAGCUGCACCAACCUUUCAGAACAAAUUGUGGUGUUAUUACAGACAGGAUAACAUAGAGGGAAAGUGAGGUCAAAAAGUUAACCAACUAUGGUCUUUGCAAAAUAUAGGUGAGCUCAUCUGUUUUUACCUCAGGGAAUUUCUGAUAAACCAAAUGUUUGUAAAAAUAAUAAGUUUUCCCACAUUAACAUUACAGAGAUUAUAGUCUGCAAAGUCCAGUCAAAGAUUAGCAAGUAAAUUAAAAUAUUUGAGUGUUUCACAAAGUAGGGGCUUGAAAUAUAAACCCCUGUAGUGGUUUGGCUCCCUGUAAUUUUAUGAGAAAACAUGCAUGCCAGAUCUUGUGAAAGUGAAGAUAAUAUUAGACCUGAGAUGUGCUCUCAGAGGACUAGAGUUAGAAAGGACUAGUAAGUAUAUCCUCGUCGAAGGGGGAGAAAUCCCUUUUCAUUAUUGAAGCUUUAAUCUAUACCUCAUUUCAGAAAGGCAGGGAGAGCAGCCCCUGGGCCGGCUCUAGCCCCCCCCCCAGGCUUCUCUAGGCACAACUGUUAUCUUGGGGGCUGGUUCACCCUCCAUGGCCCAGGUGAAAUGUGUGGGGCUUACACCAGGUCACAGGAGCAGGGUGUACGUAAGGAGCCAGAAUGCUCCGAGCCCCUGCUCCUGACUUCCCCGCAUUUGGAGUUAAAUAGAUCUGUGAUGCAGUCCUACCCUUGCACAAGCUACUCUGAUUCUGUGCUUUACAGUCUUGAAAAGGCAGGCCAAUUUCUUUGAUCUGAUUUGGGAAUUACUAAAUACUAGCAUAUUUAAGUACAUUAUUACUUACUAAGAAUAUCCCAGAGCCUUAAAGACUCAGAAGUCAAACUGCUUGAGUUAGGUGUUUGUUGGCUAAUAGUUGACAGCAGGGUGUACCUCUGCCACCAGUUUAGAUUAACCCAGGUGUUUCUUUACUGAUGUUUCUUGGGCAUGAGAGGCAUUAUUUAUAGGAGUUUUGAGGUUGUAAAUAUGACCAUGACUCUCUUAAGGACAGGGGUGUGACCUGGGAAUCACACCUUAGGCAGUCCUGUGAACAUGCAGUACACCCACUCAAACUAAGGCAACUACACAGUCAGUAGAUGGAGUAUUAUCAUGGGACCUCCAUUAAUAUACAGUCUUAAGUUGACUGAAGUGUUGUGUGGUGCAUGACUGUGUUUGGGAACUUGUAGUUUUUCUGAAAGAUUUCACUUGGUGCCUUUACCUUUUCUCAGAGUUCUCACCAAAGUGUCCAUUGUCCUCAACACAGAUUUGCACUGCAUGGCUUUACUUAGGUGAGAGCUGCUUUGAGAAAAAAGAUUUACAAAAUUCACAAAACACCCUUACAAACCACAUAGUCUAGACAUACUGAAAAGGAAAGAAAAAAAUGGGUUUGUCAUGAAUGCAUGUAAUGUGUAAUAAAAGUAUUUUUUUUACUAAUAUAUAAAAAUAAAUUCUAGGGGGCUGGAGAGAUGGCUCAGCGGUUAAGAGCACUGGCUGCUCUUCUAGAGGACCUGAGUUCAAUUCCCAGCAACCACAUGCUGGCUCACAACCAUUUAUAAUAGGAUCUAAUGGCCUCUUCUGGCCUGCAGAGCACUCAUACAGAAAAUAUAAAUAAAUUUAAAAAUAAAUUCUAAAUAAUUAAAAUGUACCAAGUUUAUGAACUUGACAGUGUUCAAGACAAUGUACGGCACACUCAGAGUGAGAGAAGUGUAAAUGCAUUUGAGGUACAGUGUGGGUCCUGGCUGCUGUCAUGAGAAGGUCAAGUGUUGCAAGAGUCAGCUUAAAACGCUGUGGGAGUAUGGGUUUGUCUCUCCAGGAAACUGUACCCAUAGGUAACAGGACACUUGUGUAUAAGACAUGCGAAAUAGGGACUGACCUACUGCUCUCAGGAGGCAUAUGUUCAGAAGCAGGCUACUAGCAAGAGUUUUAGGGAGCCAAAGGCUCUUCCCAGGUUUGUGGCUCUUUUAGGAAGUUGGUACCCUAACUCCAUAUGGCCUAGAAGUCAACUGUAGUGGCAUGGUGAGCCUUCUGUUCCCCUAAUGGAAGGAAGGGCUCCUUAUGGAGGGGCUGCCUUGGGUUAGGUCUCCUGGAUGGCAUUUUGUUAGCGAUUCAAACCUGCUGUGCAUAGCAGCUGUGAGUUUGCUGCUCCUGGUGAGAACUAUCUUUCAUUGGCAGACAUUUUACCCCCAAAGGAAGGAAUAUCGUAGCAUUUCUUCCUCCUCCUGUUUUCCUUACAGAUUUAGCAUUGUGUACGGCUGGCUGACACUGAGUGAGCGCUUGCUGACCCACCAUAAAGUUAUUGUGUAUGUGAAGGGCCUAUCUGGUGGGAUAGAACAGGAGACAAAAAUGGAAGGCAUCCUGCACUCACAGCCUGUGGAUUCCCAGGCCACCACGGGAUCACCAGUGUCUGCCUUUCUUGGCCUCUGGGAGAUCACUUCUAUACAUUGUUGAAAAGACAUGACAGAUUUAGUAUCAAGUGUAAUUGAAAAAAAUUUCAGAAUUACAUAGGCAACAUUAAAACAGUUUCACACUUUCCAGUGUGUUCUUACCAUUAGGUUUAGAGAUUGAAGACAAUGUUGAUUUAAUAAUGGCAUUUCAAAUGAAUAUUAGAGCUUUUGCUAAAUGGGCCCCAGCUCAUGGAGUAAAGUGUGAGAAGCCAGAGGUUCCUGGAGGUCCUUUAUUUCCACCGCUGCUUUAGGGCUUGCCAACUGUCUUCAAGGCAACUGUGUCCGAACCAAGCUGUCUCUUGUUUGCUCAGGAGAAGAGCUGGAUGAGAAAGCUGCAGAUGCGGGUAAGGAAUUGGGAAUGGUAGGCAUUCUUUAGACUGUGCGUGCCGCAGGUGCCUACCCCCCUCAGAGACUGUGUGUACCACAGGUGCCCACCCCCCUCAGAGACUGUGUGUACCACAGGUACCCACCCCCCUCAGAGACUGUGCGUACCACAGGUGCCCACCUCCCUCAGAGACUGUGUACCACGGGUGCCCACCCCCCUCAGAGACUGUGCGUACCACAGGUGCCCACCAUCCUCAGUGACUGUGUGUACCACAGGUGCCCACCAUCCUCAGAGACUGUGUGUACCACAGGUACCUACCCUCCUCAGAGACUGUGUGUACCACAGGUGCCCACCAUCCUCAGAGACUGUGCGUACCACAGGUGCCACUAUCCUCAGAGACUGUGUGUACCACAGGUACCUACCCUCCUCAGAGACUGUGUGUACCACAGGUGCCCACCAUCCUCAGAGACUGUGUGUACCACAGGUACCUACCCCCCUCAGUGACUGUGUGUACCACAGGUGCCCACCAUCCUCAGUGACUGUGUGUACCACAGGUGCCCACCCCCCUCAGAGACUCCCUGCAGUAGUGUCAACCAGCUGAAUAUUAUGCACCCUUUUAACAGUACUUAAGAAGUGGAUUUUCAUUAUUCUUUUUGAAUCAGAAGGAAAUGCUAGUUUUUCCCCUUUUAUUAAAUAUAACCCAAGUUGUAUUUUCUUUCUGCAUGGGAGUCUUUAAGCCAUAUUUCAGUUAAUUUUUUUCUCUGAAUUUCAAGUAAAUGGAGUGAAAUAUUUUAUAGAUGGUCUUACAGUAAUAUUGAAGUCCUAGGUAUAGUUAAAAAGGUUAAAAAGCAAGGACUGAAGGGAUGGAUCAGUGGUUGAGAGUACUGACUGCUCCUCUGGAGGACCCAGGUCGAGUUCCAGCCAAUACCACACAGCUGCUCACCUCCUAUAGAUGACUCCAGUCCCAGGGAUCCACCACCCUCUUCUGGCCUCCAUGGGCACUGCAAGCAUAUGAUAUCUAUCUAUCUAUCUAUCUAUAUAGUAAAAUAUCUUUUAAGUUAAAAAGCAGGCAAACAUGUUAGUGUUUUUUUUUUCCUUCCUUUUUACUUAAAGUGUCCUUACACUGUAGUGUUAAGCUUUAUCUGUCAUCUUUGACAGGACUAUUUAUCCAGCCACGUGAAGAGUAAGUUACCUAGUGCUCAAAAUAACAUAACACAGGAGGAAGAAGAGCCAAAAUUCAUUUCCAGCUAAUUAACAGUUUCUAAUUGCAUUUCCUGUUUGGGGGCACCUUAGAGUAGACCACCAUUGCACUGACUGGUCUGAUACCCGUGCACAUCCCUAUGGAGAUGUGCAUAUAGAGCACCUUCUAAAAGCUUACUUGUAGUAGGUAGAAGAGGUCCCCUGUGGACUCCAGAUACUGACCGUGUUCAAAGACUGAUGUCUGAGGGAAGGCUAGCAGAGCCUUGCUCUUGCUCACUAAAACAGCGUGGUCAGUUACUUUGUUUAAAUUUAUCAGUCAUCUGUGGAUGACUUUAAGCUUUUAAAAAUAUAGCUCACUGAUUUUUAAGUUCAUAAGAAUAAGUAAGAGCAAUGUUUAUUUUCUUCGAAAUAGAGUUCUUAGAAUUCUACAGUAUGGCAAUCAAAGAAUGUGGGUUUUUUUUUCUUUUUUACAUUCCUGAUUUGUUGGGCUGUAAGUCUCAAGACAUCUUUUGAACAGACAAUUGAGGCUUCUGUUAGGAUCAACACUCAUAUUUAAUGGUGUAUUUCUGAACAAUAACUGUCCUUCGAGGUAGUCUAAAAAAUUAAACCUUAUAAAUUUUUGACAGUUUUAAGCUUAUAUGUUGGAAGAAUAUGGGAAAUGUGAUUUACCUAGUUUUCUUGUUUAAUGUGUGAUGCAUGAUUUAUUCUUUUAAUGGAAAAAAUAAGUUUUAAUAGUGCAACUUUAAAAUUUCUAAAUAUCUACUAAUGCCAUAAAACUGGUUUUUGUAUGUUUCUCACUCAGUGCUGCUGAUACCAAAGUUUGUUCAGAGUGGAGGGAAAUAAGAAGCUUGGUGUGGGCUGUUUCUGUGUGCAAUGCGUGUGCUUUGAUGGUUUAUUUCACAUUCAUGGCCUUCACUUUGUUUCCUUCCUUCCUUAAAGCCGUGUGACUCUGGGUUUAACAGACAGAGACA